UGGAAAAAACGGCCAUUUAUUCCAUGUCCUUACUUUUGUCGUGACAUAUGCAACAACUCAUUUCCUGGUUGAAAAUGUGAAGUUAUUACAAAUUGAGCCAAGGUGGGAGGUGUGAGGUGGGGCUGGUUCACUGGUAGAAGGUAGAGUAGAGAAACCAGGGUUAACCUAAUUUUUUGUGGUCGUUGCGAAGUGAAAUUGUGAAAUGUCAAAUGUCAAAUUUGGGCUUUAGAAGGCAGCUGCUGAGCAGACUUGUGAACUUGGUACAACUCGGGUUCGGAAAUUAAUUGAAAUUGCAGAUUUUCCACCUAUUUUUAUUGGAAAGAUUACCACCAAUGAUUUACACGUUCCUAAAUUUGGCUUCAUGUCGGACACCAGAUUAAAUCUUUGGUUCAUGGGCUAUUUAUUACGAUUGAAAUUGUAAUUGAAAAAGUCAUUUCUACCCAGACGACGAAUGAAGAACAGUUCUAGGCGACCAAACAGGACAACUUGCACGGGGAAAUAGUUUUUACAUAUGUAUGCUGAUAAUGUCUAACAAUGUAUAAUUUGUUGAUUAAUUGUUUGAUUUGAAUAGUUGCAAUAAUAAAAAUUGAAACAUCCA